UUUUGUGGGGUGCUCGAGUGGCGAACGGGUGAGUAACACGUGAGUAACCUGCCCUUGACUUUGGGAUAACUUCAGGAAACCGGGGCUAAUACCGGAUAGGAGCUCCUGCUGCAUGGUGGGGGUUGGAAAGUUUCGGCGGUUGGGGAUGGACUCGCGGCUUAUCAGCUUGUUGGUGGGGUAGUGGCUUACCAAGGCUUUGACGGGUAGCCGGCCUGAGAGGGUGACCGACCACAUUGGGACUGAGAUACGGCCCAG
rnacentral:rRNA from 1 species